AAUACAUUGGCAUUUUCCAUUGACCUCAACCAAACCAUGGCUAGAGCACAGGCCAUACCAUGUUUACCAUGUUUGAUGAGAGUACUGGUUUUGAAUCUCUUGAUCUCCUCACUAGUUUUUCCUUUGUCAGCUACACCACUUAAGAGGAGAAAAAGUCUGAAUACUAUAAAGUACCUCAAUCACAAAGGGCCAUAUCUUGGUCUCAUCACAGUCUACCCACCUGAAGAAGAUGCAUUCUUUGCAACAAAGGCCUUUAAACUUGACCCAAUACACCCUUUUGUGGAUCUCUCAGGCAGACGAUUCCGGGUGGGGAACUUACAUGGGAAGAAAGUCAUCUAUGUGAGAUGUGGGAUUGGAAUGGUGAAUGCAGCUGCAGCAACACAACAAAUGUUGGAUCUGUUCGACAUAACAGGAAUUGUACAUUUUGGGAUAGCCGGCAAUUUGAACAAUUCCAUGUCAAUCGGAGAUGUCACCAUCCCAAAACAAUUUGCCCACACUGGCAUUUGGGAUUGGCUGGAACUGAAUGGAACAUUGGGAACUAAUGAUUUUGCUGACUUAAAAAUUGGAAGCUACAAUGUACCUAAAAUGCAAGGGAUUAAUCUGUUGGGACAAAUUGGAUAUAGCUACGAGGAAUUCUUCUCCGAGUCAGGGAAGCCUGAUACUGCUCAACCUUUGCUUUGGUUGCAGAUAACCCGGAAAUGGCUUCAGUUUGCUACUAGUUUGGAGGGGAUGGAACUAGAGCAAUGUGUGAACUCAAGUGUGUGCCUUCCUCAAAAGCCCAAACUAGUAGUUGGACUCCGAGGCUCAACCGCCAACAUUUUUGCAGGCAAUGUAGCAUACAGGGACUUCCUCUUCAAUACUUUUCAAGUUUCAUCAGUUGACAUGGAGAGUGCAGCUGUGGUGAUGUAGUUUGUUUCUUGGUACUAAAGGUGUAACUUCUGAGAUAUCUCUGUGUCCAAGCUUAGCUCUCAUGGAGAUUUUUGGGUGACCUUGCAUAGCCAAGAGGAGAAGAAGAACAUGGUGCUGAUGAUGAUGAUGAGCCUUUCUCUUGCUUGUUUUUGCUCAACAGUCUCAAGAAUCCUUUAUCUACUUGUGCCUAUUGACAGAGCUUCAUGUGUCUUUUCUCCACUGGCAAUGGAGAUUGGACAUCUAAUAUACACCCUUCAAUGCAACUUUUGUAAACACAAUUCUGUAAAUUGCUUUCAAUAGAACGAAGUCUGUCGAUUGAAGAAGUUAUACAAUCUAGUGUUGUUCCCCGCUUUGUAUGGUUGAGGUUUGAACAUGGGAGGCGAUGGCCGGUGGUGGCCGGCGGUGAAGUGGCUGGUGAGAUGGUGGUGGGUGAGAUGUGUAUGGAGAAAUUGUGAGAUGUGUGGGUGAGAUGGUAAUUUUGUUAAAGGAUAAAAUUGUGAUUCUGAAAAGAUUCAUUAAGUGUGUGAAGUAAGGAAACUUGGUGUAUGGAAGUAGAAUUUUCCCAUAUUUAUAAAGCCUUAAUUCCAUAUUAGCCCAUCAUAAA